AUGAUCUCCUCCUCCUCAUCCUGCGCCGCGUCGACACCCGCUCGGCGCUCGGCACUGCGUUGCUGUCCAGGCGCUGGUCCCGCCUUCCUCCCGAGCUCCCCGCCUUGGACUUCAAUGUCUUCGACGUGCUUCAGGAUCGACGACCCCACGGAUGAGAGUGUCCUGGCUAACUUGAUGAGGUACGAGCGCCGCGCCAUGCGCGCCCUGACCAGCUUCAUCCAGAGCCGCCUCUUGCUGGACGCUCCCCGGAGGCUCCGCCGGCUGAGGCUCCAGUUCUUCUCCGCCGACAAUAGCAGCGGCCUCAUUAACCGGCUCGUCGUCAAGGCCAUCGACGACUGGGGGGUCAGCAGUCUGGAGGCCGUCGCCACGCCGUUCUACACGCAGCCGGUCGCCGCCCACGCUUUCCCCGGCCACGGCCUCUGCGAGCGUCCCCGCGCGUCCCGCCUGUGGAAGCUCAAGCUCGCAGGCUGCGCCGCGCUCCCGCCGCUGCACGAGCACGGCGCGCUCACCAAGCUCGUCCUGCAAGACAUGCCGGAAUCGGUGCCCGUCGCGGCGUACGAGGCCGUGCUCGCCUCGUGCCCGCAGCUGCAGGUGCUGCACCUCGUGUGCUGCGUCUGCCGCGGCACCGAGGUCUUGACCGUCGACGCCCCCAUGUCGCGGAUCAGGGAGCUCGUCGUCGACAGGUGCGAGUUCCUGAAGACGAUACGCAUGGCGGCCCUUCCCGGCCUCGAGAAACUAGCCUCCCUCGGAACCAGGGUGUCCUUCGAGUCCGCCGCCUCGUUUCCCCGCCUCAGCCAGUGCAACCUCGCCUGGUUCUCCGACGCCCAGCCGACAAGGACGGUGCUCGACUUCAUCGGACGGACACGGACCCCGGACAUUGCCAGCCUCAUUAUCCGAUUCACCGGCCCGGAGAGGUGGAUCGCGCCGUGGAGCCACCCGUCGUCGUCGCUGCUGCCUAACCUGACAAGGCUUCUGGUCGCCGACGUGCCUUCGUCCUGGGACGUCUCGUGGCCCCGGCUCCUCCUCGAGGCGGCGCCUUCCCUCGAGACCCUCCAUAUCCACGUCGCCGCCUGCGCGAAGGAACCCGGCGACGAUGAGAUAAGCUGGGGGGCUGCCGUGCCUCGGCACCAUGGCCUCAAGGAGUUCGUGAUGGUCGGUUUCGAGGGGACGGCGAGGCUGUUAGAUGAAAUAUUCUGUUGUAAUCUCAACCUUCCUCUAUCUCUUGUAUCUAUCUUAAACUCUCCUGUAACAACCUGCGGGUUGCAUCAUCUUGUACGCCAAGGCAUGGCUAUUGCCCCAAUCAAUAUAUAG
rnacentral:rRNA from 1 species